UACGUAGGGUGCGAGCGUUAAUCGGAAUUACUGGGCGUAAAGCGUGCGCAGGCGGUUUUGUAAGCCAGAUGUGAAAGCCCCGGGCUUAACCUGGGAAUGGCAUUUGGGACUGCAAGGCUUGAGUUUGGCAGAGGAGACUGGAAUUCCUGGUGUAGCAGUGAAAUGCGUAGAUAUCAGGAGGAACACCGGUGGCGAAGGCGGGUCUCUGGGCAGUAACUGACGCUGAGGAACGAAAGCGUGGGUAGCGAACAGG
rnacentral:rRNA from 1 species